rnacentral:rRNA from 1 species
UACGGAGGUGGCAAGCGUUACUCGGAAUUAUUGGGUGUAAAGGGCAAGUAGGCGGCUUGGUAAGUAGGGGGUGAAAUACUUCGGCUCAAUCGGAGAACAGCCUUCUAAACUGCCAGGCUUGAGUGUGACAGAGGAAAAGGGAAUUCUCGGUGUAAGGGUGAAAUCUGUAGAUAUCGAGAAGAACACCAGCGGCGAAGGCGCUUUUCUGGGUCACUACUGACGCUAAAUUGCGAAAGCUAGGGGAGCAAACAGA